rnacentral:tRNA from 1 species
CGGGUUAUAGCGCAGUUGGUAGCGCGCAGCGUUCGGAACGCUGAGGCCGUGGGUUCGAGUCCCACUAGCCCGACCA